AACACAUGCAAGUCGAACGGUAACAUUUCUAGCUUGCUAGAAGAUGACGAGUGGCGGACGGGUGAGUAAUGCUUGGGAACUUGCCUUUGCGAGGGGGAUAACAGUUGGAAACGACUGCUAAUACCGCAUAAUGUCUUCGGACCAAACGGGGCUUCGGCUCCGGCGCAAAGAGAGGCCCAAGUGAGAUUAGCUAGUUGGUAAGGUAACGGCUUACCAAGGCGACGAUCUCUAGCUGUUCUGAGAGGAAGAUCAGCCACACUGGGACUGAGACACGGCCCAGACUCCUACGGGAGGCAGCAGUGGGGAAUAUUGCACAAUGGGGGAAACCCUGAUGCAGCCAUGCCGCGUGUGUGAAGAAGGCCUUCGGGUUGUAAAGCACUUUCAGUUGUGAGGAAAAGUUAGUAGUUAAUACCUGCUAGCCGUGACGUUAACAACAGAAGAAGCACCGGCUAACUCCGUGCCAGCAGCCGCGGUAAUACGGAGGGUGCGAGCGUUAAUCGGAAUUACUGGGCGUAAAGCGCACGCAGGCGGUUUGUUAAGCUAGAUGUGAAAGCCCCGGGCUCAACCUGGGAUGGC
rnacentral:rRNA from 1 species